CACGUAGGGGGCGAGCGUUGUCCGGAUUUAUUGGGCGUAAAGAGCUCGUAGGCGGCUCGGUAAGUCGGGUGUGAAACCUCCAGGCUCAACCUGGAGACGCCACUCGAUACUGCCGUGGCUAGAGUCCGGUAGAGGAGCGUAGAAUUCCUGGUGUAGCGGUGAAAUGCGCAGAUAUCAGGAAGAACACCCGUGGCUAAGGCGGCUCUCUAGUACGGUACUGACGCUGAGACGCGAAAGCGUGGGGAGCGAACAGG
rnacentral:rRNA from 1 species